rnacentral:rRNA from 1 species
CCUACGGGAGGCAGCAGUGGGGAAUAUUGCACAAUGGGCGCAAGCCUGAUGCAGCCAUGCCGCGUGUGUGAAGAAGGCCUUCGGGUUGUAAAGCACUUUCAGCGGGGAGGAAGGUGUUGUGGUUAAUAACCGCAGCAAUUGACGUUACCCGCAGAAGAAGCACCGGCUAACUCCGUGCCAGCAGCCGCGGUAAUACGGAGGGUGCAAGCGUUAAUCGGAAUUACUGGGCGUAAAGCGCACGCAGGCGGUCUGUCAAGUCGGAUGUGAAAUCCCCGGGCUCAACCUGGGAACUGCAUUCGAAACUGGCAGGCUAGAGUCUUGUAGAGGGGGGUAGAAUCCCAGGUGUAGCGGUGAAAUGCGUAGAGAUCUGGAGGAAUACCGGUGGCGAAGGCGGCCCCCUGGACAAAGACUGACGCUCAGGUGCGAAAGCGCGGGGAGCAAACAGCAUUAGAUACCCUCGUAGUC